rfam:Caenorhabditis japonica strain DF5081 Contig5344.1, whole genome shotgun sequence.
ACCGGGUGAAGCUGAAGAGAGCCGUCCUUUGACAGUUCGUCCACGUGGAAUAUCGUGCUGUCAUGGAGUCGCUCUCUUCAGAUGACCACGG